rnacentral:rRNA from 1 species
AGAGUUAAACAGUACGUGAAAUUGUUGAAAGGGAAACGAUUGAAACCAAGCGAGCUACUGGGACUCAGCCAGUCAAGAAAUUGACUGGUGCACUUCCCUGUAGCUGGCCAACAUCAAUUCAGUUGGCUGGAAAAAGGUGUAGGGAAUGUAGGUCUCACUUGUGAGACUGUUAUAGCCCUGCGCUCAUACAGCCUUCUGGAUUGAGGAACGCAGUGUCGUUUCCGACGCGCUUGCUGCGAGGCAGACACUUUCAGACAGCUUGCUGACUGAAAGUGAGCUAGCCAAGCACUCAAGUGCGAAGGUUUGACACUAAGGAUGCUGACGUAAUGGCUUUAAACGACC